rnacentral:snoRNA from 1 species
CAAAUCAUACUUCACAGGAUCUUUUUUGUAGUAUAUUUUUCCAGGUGUUGACCAAAAGUCAAUUAUAUCAAGGAGGUGAAGAUUAGAUACGGGCUGCUUCUUAUUGUGAAGACGCACCUCAGCCUUUUUUGUAAGGUUGGAAGCUUGAUUACCGCUUGUAGGGCAUUUUGCCCUCUUAUAGAGAGAGGCGUUAUGAGUCAA